rnacentral:lncRNA from 1 species
UAGGAGAUUUGAAGAUAGUGAGAGAUUCUUGAAUGUUGGAGAUGGAAGAUUAGUUUCAGUUCUAACUUUAGGAAUUAUCGAGCUUGAUUCAAGUCUCAAUUUAUUAUUCUGAAUGAAUAUCAUUAUUAUUUUAGUUUUCUUUUAAAUGUUAUUUUUGUAGGUCUUUUGGUCAAAUCAAAUUAUGAAAUAUUAAUUAAAAAAGUUUUUAUAAUAUCAUUUUGAAUGGUGUUACGAUAAUGCAUGGAUAGUGGA